UGCAUCGGCCGGGAAUCGAACCCGGGCCGCCCGCGUGGCAGGCGAGCAUUCUACCACAUUCAAACAGACAGAAUAAGGC